GUGCGCCUACGGGGCGCAGCAGUGAGGAAUAUUGGUCAAUGGCCGAGAGGCUGAACCAGCCAAGUCGCGUGAGGGAUGACGGCCCUACGGGUUGUAAACCUCUUUUGUCGGGGAGCAAAGAGAGUCACGUGUGGCUCAUUGAGAGUACCCGAAGAAAAAGCAUCGGCUAACUCCGUGCCAGCAGCCGCGGUAAUACGGAGGAUGCGAGCGUUAUCCGGAUUUAUUGGGUUUAAAGUGUGCGCAGGCGGAGGUGCAAGUCAGUGGUCAACUUGUGGUGCUCAACCCCGUACUGCCGUUUCAACUGC
rnacentral:rRNA from 1 species